AUAUCUUUUUUUCCCGCCCACCGAAUUGAUUGACAGCUGCGUGUAUUAACAUAUCCUGAGUUUGUCGUUUCCGCCAUUAUCUGCAUGUUAGUCGAAGCGAUGCCACCGAGAGAACACCCUUGUGCUAUUUUUGGAUGUAAGGCUUCGAGAGCCUUCACCGUCUUCCUGCAAAUGAGCAACAGAGGCUUAAGUGGCUGAGUUUUAUCUUUGAAGACAAGGUGCCUGAAAAUGUACCAAAACUGUUGUAUGUUUGCGCUAACCACUUUAGCGUAGACUGCCUUGAGAACGCGGGAAAAUACAACUCCGGAUUCGCGAGUAAAUUGUUUCUGAAAACUGGAUCAGUUCCUACAAUACGUGAUCCUGCCUCACUUCAAGUAUUACAUUUUCUGUACUUCUAGCCUAAGCAUUCUAAUAAUGUUAAGCCAAAAUGAAUAGCAUCUGUAUAGUAAUAAUAGUAGCUUCGGAUGUUUGUUUGCACGUGUUUACUGCUGUUGUGCUUUUCUAAAACAGUGUGUACAUACUCGAAGCUAAGUGGUAAUGUGUACAAGAAGGGCUUUUAGCCAUCAGAAGCAGAAAUCGUAGAAAAAAUUAAACAUUGUAAUAAAGCAGGAACCAGUACUGGCUACAGCUAAAGUUUUUAUUUUUUUUUUUACAAAGGCCACGACGUCGACACAGAGCAACAAGAUGGAUGUUGCUUGCCAGACGGAACCAUUUAACAAAUCUUUACACAGUGUUGGUACACAGUUGUCGUUUAGGACGCUUCAGGCUAAACGCAGGAGUACAAGUAAGUUAACAUUUCUCAGUUUAUUUUAAGUUGCUGCAUUAGAAACGUGUUUUACUAUCUUUAUAAACAUGAAAUGAGAUUAAUCAUAAAAUUACACUAGAGGUGUCCAGGCAACAGUGUCCAGUUUUGAACUGACUGUAUCAUCAGCGUCCUCUACUGCGUUUAUAACUUCGACACCCGUCAAACCUUCACUAAAAAGACCUCGUCUGGAGCUGGAGGAGGAGGAAGAAGAAGAAGAAGCCGAAGAGACUCUAUCAGAGUCAAAAAUUAUAGACCAAGACUCGGAUGUGAGAUUUGACCCUGCAGAGGAAUGCACAUCUGCAACUGAUCCAACAGACUUGUCAAUCCAAGAAUGGCCAGUUCAUAACAUAGCCAAGUUCAUUGUCUAUGAAACGUGCUUCAUGGAGCUCUUCAGUGACUGCCCAGUGUGUCACAGGAGAUGUGAUGUACAGUCACAAAGGCUUGGGACAUUUCUGAGCGUACAGCAAGUCUGCCCACACUGCGAGUUUGUAAGAAAAUGGAACAGUCAGCCGAUUAUUGGUAGUACUCCAGCUGGCAACCUGCAUCUUUCUGCUGCAGUCUACUUGAGCGGUGCAUCAUUUUUUGUAGUUGAAAAGGUAUUUGCUGCAAUGAAACUACACAUUUUUAAAUAUGAUUCAUUUCGCCGACAUGCAAGACUUUGCAUUGAACCUGCUAUUGUCCACAAUGGAGAAAUUGGCAGAGUGAAAUGCUAGAACAGCUCAGUUGAAGAGAGAAUGUGAUUGUUGGAGGAGAUAUGAGGGCUGACUCCCCAGGUCACUCUGCCAAGUAUGGGAGUUAUACAAUGAUGGACCUUGCAACUAACACAGUGGUCGAGUUAGUCCAGAGUAACGAGGGGGCGGCAGUUACCAUAUGGAAAAAGAAGGCCUAAAGAGAAGCCUUGACCUAUUGGAUGCCUGCGGUGUUCGUCUGGAAUGCAUCAUCACAGACUGACAUCCUCAAAUACAGAAAUAUCUCAGAAUAUCGAGAAAGUAUUUAACAAAAAAACUGGACAAGAUAUGCCAGAUAAAGGGGUGUGAGAAGUUGCUUAAAUGGUUACGUAGCAUCAAAAACCACAUCUACUGGACUGCGGCAUCAUCCACAACAGGUCCUGAAAGAGUGGCAAAGGGGACCUCUAUCUUGAACCAUGUACAAGACAAGCAUGUACAUGAAGACCCCAAUUUUCCGGCUUAUCUGCAUCCGCAACGGAUAAGCAGAGACGAGAACAAAUGGCUGUCGGCUGCAACGAUGCCAUUCUACAAGCUGGAGAAAGUUCUCGCUAA